AGGUGAACAUGAAGCAGAUUCCUGGAUGGUGUUUAGGCUGUUUGUCAACAUGUAAAAUCCACGAGUAUUUUGGGGAGUAGUCUCCUCUGUUUAAGAUCAAUAAUGGCAGAUCUACAAUGCAGGAUACAGUCUGGUCAUCAACAGAGAGUUUUGACACCUGUAUACCUGUAUUUCUACCAAUCACUUGUAACAUACCUUAAUAUGUACCUUAAUAUGUACCUUUGGACGGACAGACUGGGAGGAAACCUAUAGUCCCCUCUGGUUUCAUCGAUGAUGGACCACUCUACUUCCUUUUACAGCAGGUGCCCCUACCGAUUUACACAGUUCUAAUGUUGAGUUUUCAUGACCCCUAUUCAUCCACAACAGAAAAAGGAAUAAAGUUGACAGGACUUUCCACGUUGUCUUUGGUAGCUGCAGCUUACAAUAGAGCCAGCUGCAGUAGACAUAGCAAUUGCUUCAUCAAAG